UGAGUAAAUCGCCUUAUCGCUUUUUUGCUGAAUUUAUUUCAGUAUUUACCAAUGUAGUCUACAACUAUCUUGAAAAGGUACUGAAACAAGUUCAGCACUAAGGAGGAAAGUCCGAACACCGUAGUGCAACAUAGUGGUUAAUAGCCACCGGCCGAAAGGUUAGGAAAAGUGCAACAGAAAGAAUGUACGGGUAAUGCCGUAGUGAAAUCAGGUAAACUCUAUGUGGUGCAAUGCCAUGUAUACCAGCGUUUGAAGGCGGCACGUUUGAUUGCUGGAGGGUAGGCAGCUAGAGUGUUUUGGUAACAAAGCACCGAGAUAAAUGAUAAGGGCUUUUUAUUUUAAGAAUUCUUUUCUUAAAUAAAAAAGGUACAGAAUUCGGCUUAUAGAUUUGCUUUAUUA
rnacentral:RNase_P_RNA from 1 species